CAGUAGCCGCGGGAAUACGUAGGUGGCAAGCGUUGUCCGGAAUUAUUGGGCGUAAAGGGCUCGCGGGCGGUUUCUUAAGUCUGAUGUGAAAGCCCCCGGCUCAACCGGGGAGGGUCAUUGGAAACUGGGAAACUUGAGUGCAGAAGAGGAGAGUGGAAUUCCACGUGUAGCGGUGAAAUGCGUAGAGAUGUGGAGGAACACCAGUGGCGAAGGCGACUCUCUGGUCUGUAACUGACGCUGAGGAGCGAAAGCGUGGGGAGCGAACAGGAUUAGAUACCCCAGUAGUCCCUGUCUCUUAUAC
rnacentral:rRNA from 1 species